ACAUUUGAGAGUUUAAUAUUGCGUGUAGCAUGUUCACUGGUGUGGAAUUUAUAAACUAUGUCUAAAAAUAGCUGAAAACAGUACGACAAUGUUCUAUUUUCGCCGUUCUGUCAAAAAAAGGAUUUUAACUGUAGAAGAUUCAUACCAUUUGAUGCCAAGUGUACAAUAAAAACUGAAAUGAAAAUUGACAGCAGAAGUGUCAUGGUCUCGGUGGAAAAUGCUGUGCUCUUCAUUGACCUCUGUUUAAUAAUGGCUUAUGAUAAAAAAACUACCAGGAAUGCUUCAGGAUGGCAAUGGAGGGCAGUGUAAAAGACACUGAGAAAUCACAAUGUUUCAAACAUCUAGAAUAUGCCCAGAGUCAGUCUUCAAGAUACUCACCUUAAAGGUUCCAGUGUGAUUUAGGAGACUUUGUCAGAACAGUACAUUAUACCUACAUACACUGGAGAUACCAGACCCAACAGAUAAUAACUACAGAUAUAUUUAAACACGGUUAAAUAGGCAGUGAGGCAUUUGUGUGUAAUCUUCAUUUAAUAUUUGAAAUUUCUUUUUCCUUUUUUUAAGUUUGAUUUUGCAUUUAAAAGCCAUUAGCAUUAGAUUUUUCAAAAAUAUAUGUAUUUUUAUACAGUUUCAACUGUGAUGUAUAUCCAGUUGUACAUGUUUCCUCUAAGGAUUAAAACACUUUUGAAUUAUAUAGGAAAAUUGAAAUGAUACAUUUAUUCAAAUUUAUGAUAAAAUAUAAAACACACACUACCAUUGUUGAUCAUGUAAACCUUUAUACUAUCUUUUAUAGAAAUUAUGUGAAUCUUUUGAUAUUUCUAAAUACAUUUAUUUUUACUUUUACUGGCUCAUGUUUAAACACAGAAUGCUAUAUAAAGUGUAUACUCCAGUGUAUAUCAUAACAUGAUUGAAAUAGAUAAUAGAUAAUAUUUGCAUGAAACUCUGAAUACUUAACCACUAUGGCAAUCUGCACCAGUUAAGAUACUUUUUGUUGAAUAAUGUGUUUUGAUGAGACCAGCUUGUAAAAUAGCUGUAUUUCUUUUAGUCAUUUUGUGAAUACCUGAAUUAUCCUCGGGAUCUAUCUCAGUCAUACAGAUCCCAAGUACCGGUUAGGGCAAUGUGUCAUGUACCGCAUCAGGGGAAUCGGGUCAGCAGUGCAGAGAAUUGGGCAUUAAAAUGUUGCUAUUGGUUCGCCACGUCCAGGAUCGGGUGUUAACUUAGGGUUUUUACCUUGACUCCGACAAUGGACCGCGAGCUAUGGGGCAGAAUACGCGGGGGAAUAUGACCCCUGUGGGUGAUUGCAUGGUUCUAUGGGUUUAUAUAAUCUGAGGGGAGAUAUCUGAGUUUCACACCUGUAGGUAGUGGUUAAGACACAUGUUAGGGGAUUACUUAUAUUCCUACGACUCUACCGGCUGGGUUGAACUUGAACUUAUCGGAUUUUCUGGUAACACCAGGAGGCCGACCAAGGGAAUUGGAGGUGGCCAAGCCCUAAUAGGAAUUCGUAAGAGUACGCACGAAGGGGGAGAUUUGACGUGGUUCAUAAUGACAAGAUGGUUGAACCUGAAUCAUGCAGCCCCGGGGGCGAAAGUUAGGAAGGCCCAAGUUAGAUAAACCGUGGGGGUAAAGUUUGAUGGUCCUCUAAUUGGAAAGUAUUUGAAGUCUGAGAGGCGGGUAGCUAGGUUUGUUUGUGCAAAUAAUGCCAAUUUGUCGGUCAAAUGGUUAGCUCAGAGAGGUAGAAAUGCUUCCUCUGGUAGUAACUUCGAGAGAGGUGGGGCACGUUCGGGGGUCCGUCCUUUUGGAAAAGGGAUGGGUGCUUUAUCUGUCGUACAAGAGUAGAGAUUUCAUUUUUGCCGAGGCCCAAAAUAAAGUUCAGAGAAUUCUCCCAGGUAACGUUUGGCCAAACAGGCUGUUUCUGUGUCUGAUCCACGCCUGGUACAGGUUCAACCAUUCGUUGUCAUGGUAUCUCUAACUGAAAAUGGGGCAAAUAUGAAGGUUAAGGUGCCUAAUUCAGAGAAUGAUGUAGUCACACCGCCGGUGGGGUCUGCAGAGUCCGCACUCUUAGAGGGAGGGCAAUGAGGGUCAUUAUUGGUGGUAGAUUUGCCUGGGGGAAGUUUCCCAAAGACGGGUAAUAAAUCAAAUUGGGGGGCGGGGUGAGACCAGUUCUUGUCUCCCUCGGUUGGCAAAAGCAACUCAAGUGCCAUAUCUGUGGUUGCAUAUUGUUUUUAAUUAUAAAUUAUUUAAGUGGCCAUUCCUCAACUACCGAUUAUUCUAACAAUGCAUUUAGGUCCUCUCGAACAUAUAGAAAAUAUACAAACAUAAUCUAUACAGGUACAAUGAACAUGAACAUUUUCAAUCAUUUAAAAUGCGAACAUUUGGUAGGCAGCAGAGAUUAUUGUUGAAUUAUAACCUACAUUUUCAGUCUUUGAAAGACUAGUCGUUAUUAAGAUUUGUAGUUUAACAAUUUUACAGAAAUGACAUUUAAUUUGGUUCCCCGCCUUCUCAAAUUGGGUCUAAGACAUUUACAACAUAUAAGAUACAAUCUCAAAGAUCAAGCUGGGCGGAGAAAGCGAAACAGGUUAUACACCAGGGGCGUAGCUAGCCCUUUAUUCAUGUGGAUUCAUAUAAUUAUGCAAGGGGGGGGGGGUCCAGGGACAUGCCCCCUCGGAUUAUUUUGAAAACCAUGGUGCAGUCUUGUGCAUUCUGGGCGUUCUGAGUUGCUUUACUUAGGACUAGAAAAUGGACGGUUUUAGAAUCAUGUAGUCAAGUACGCAUACUGCAAUUUUGGCUGUUUUUUUGUCAGAAUCAUGUGUAUUCAGCCGCGUACUCGCGUAUAGGCAGCUACGCGCCUUUUAGCUAUAAGAUAUUUUAAACAUGUUGGGUAAAAUCUUGAAACUUAGUACGACUAGCUCGCCUCGCCCGUUCCUCCUUUCCUUAUUUUUUUACCUAAUUUGUUUGUUUACUUAACACUUACACUGUGCUGGUUUUCCAUUUUUCCUCAAUCUAUCCCAAUUCAGGGCAGUAUUGCUUGUCCUUGUGAGCACUUGAAAAGACUAGGAGUGAUAACGUGAAAACAAUGGACGAAAAAGAUUUCGUUUGAUAAAAUGCACAUUAGUUUGGCUUUGUGUAAUAUAAUAUAAGCCAAGUCAUCGGAUGAUUCAUUUAAUAGCAUUAUUUCUUGUUUGUUCUGACAGACAAGCUUUUGGUUUAAAGGAACUCGUUUAUGUUCGUCGAGUCAGGCAUCGAAACAAAUCAUUUUGUUAAAAUGUAAAUAAAACGUUUGUUACAAUGAUAACACAUUAUUCGGAACACCCCGGUCAUUUUCCAUCGAAAACAACCUAGGUUACAUGCCGGUACAUCAGUAGAAGUAGUUAGUAUUUUUUUAGAUAAUAGUAUUAAUCAUUUAUAGUAGUUUAAAUCCUAGUUUGAAAUGCUUGCCAGUGAUGUGUAUUGUUGCAUACAUAAUUGAGAUUCCUAAGAGUAAAGUCACAAAGUUGAAUUGCUAAAUUAAAAUUACUACGCGAUCUACUUGCAGCGUAGUAAAAUGUAAAGGUUUUUGACAUCGUAAACCGUCCAAAUACAUCCGAGGUUGUUUUCGAUGAAAAUUGGCCGAGGUGCUCCGAAUGUAUCAAACGUGAUAAACAGUGCUCUGCUGUUAAUACUAAUUGAAUCACGUUACAGAAAAAAGUUAUGUUGGACCAAAAUAUGUUAAUAACCUCUGAAAAUAUAUUUAUUUUAAACUUAUUAAACCUAUUAAAAUUGAAUUGUCUUAUGUUUGAAUUUAGAAUAUUUUGCUCAAACGGGUAUCUGCGAGUUGCUGUUUGGUGGUUGUACAUAAAAGUUAGUAAUACGACUAAAUUUCAACAGUAAAACAAUAUAUGAGUGAGUGCCUUUAAAAAAGAAAAAAAACUGUCUUACAAAAAAUUAGGGAUAAAAGAAUCGAGAGGUUAGUUGUGUUAUGCGAACUCUGUCUUAUGUUCCAUUAUGUUCAGUUCGUUGUAUGGUUUGUGUUAUUUUCCUUAUUGCAACAGAACAUGCAGAACGAAUAUUUGUAACAUAGAACAAUGUUAGCACUGAAUACAUUUAUAACAAAAAUAGCUUUUCAAACGUUUAUCAUACUUACGCAUCACAUUGCCGAUACUAUAUCGUCUGAAAAUUAAAAAUUAAUUGUUUGGGGUUUCAAUCAGUAGAUCAUUGUCAGAAGACAUUUAGGCACCCAAUUCUGAAGAUCAUUGUCAGAAAACGUUAAC